rnacentral:rRNA from 1 species
GACGAACGCUGGCGGCGUGCCUAAUACAUGCAAGUAGAACGCUGAAGAGAGGAGCUUGCUCUUCUUGGAUGAGUUGCGAACGGGUGAGUAACGCGUAGGUAACCUGCCUUGUAGCGGGGGAUAACUAUUGGAAACGAUAGCUAAUACCGCAUAACAAUGGAUAACACAUGUCAUUUAUUUGAAAGGGGCAAUUGUUCCACUACAAGAUGGACCUGCGUUGUAUUAGCUAGUAGGUGAGGUAAUGGCUCACCUAGGCGACGAUACAUAGCCGACCUGAGAGGGUGAUCGGCCACACUGGGACUGAGACACGGCCCAGACUCCUACGGGAGGCAGCAGUAGGGAAUCUUCGGCAAUGGGGGCAACCCUGACCGAGCAACGCCGCGUGAGUGAAGAAGGUUUUCGGAUCGUAAAGCUCUGUUGUAAGUCAAGAACGGGUGUGAGAGUGGAAAGUUCACACUGUGACGGUAGCUUACCAGAAAGGGACGGCUAACUACGUG